rnacentral:rRNA from 1 species
UAAUACGGAGGGCGCAAGCGUUGUUCGGAAUUACUGGGCGUAAAGCGCGUGUAGGCGGCCAAGUAAGUCGGAUGUGAAAGCCCGGGGCCCAACCCCGGAACUGCACCCGAUACUGCUUGGCUGGAGUCCCGGAGAGGAUGGCGGAAUUUCCGGUGUAGAGGUGAAAUUCGUAGAUAUCGGAAGGAACACCAGUGGCGAAGGCGGCCAUCUGGACGGUGACUGACGCUGAGACGCGAAAGCGUGGGGAGCAAACAGGAUUAGAUACCCUGGUAGUCCACGCCGUAAACGUUGGGUGCUAGACGUCGGGGGUAUUGACCCCUCCGGUGUCGAAGCUAACGCAUUAAGCACCCCGCCUGGGGAGUACGGCCGCAAGGCUA